UUGAGAACCCCUGGGCUAAUGUGUCUGUACUGUCUCUUUGGAUAGACUGACUUACUAAUCUCUGAGAGUGUCCAGUGAGAAGGACUGGACACUACAGAGAGAUGUCUGUGGGGAACUUGAGAACCGGGGUUCACUGAAUGUUACCUGCAAGGAAAAGUUGAAACUGGUAGAGUCUUGAGGAGUUUGCUGGUAAGGCAGACAGGCUAGUGUGGCAGGGGCUGUCACACAGUUUAAGGUCUAGCAGUACUCUCCCCUGGAGGAAUUCCAGAGGAAUAACACUGGCUUACAGUUCCGGGGUCCCUGAGGAGAAUGCCACAAACGUUCAGUUGUAGUAAGUAAAACAGGUUUACCAAAUGUAUUUACAUUCUAUAAAUGUUUCUCUGGCUAUAACAGUCACUUUUGAGACUUUUCUGGUAAUUUUUUAUUUAUUUUGUGUCUAGUACUUCUCAUGAUGUGCUAGCUAGUGUGCAAACACAAUGAAGACCUGAUCUCUGUUUGAAAAUGCCUGCAAUCUCUGGAAAGAAAAGGAGUGGCAGAAAGAUGAGCUGACAAGUAUAUAAAGAAGACACAGUUGCUCCUGCCAGUUGUUUAAUUUCCCACAGCAUAACACUCCGUAGACUGGAAUCGAGUUUUAAAGGUAUCAAGACAGAAGCUACCAUGAGAGAUCACAGUGGAAAGCUUGGCCUUCAGCGCAGCCAUCACAUUGGCGGAGAGGCUUUUGCAGAUUUAGAAGACAAGAUAAUGAACUCCUCUGGGACAGCUGACAUGGAGCUAAGGAUUUCAUUGUCUGAAAAACUGGACAUGGACAUGGAGAGCAUCUCAGGAGCAUGAGCAUGCCAUGAGGAUGAGAUGCUGUGGAUUAUGAAGGACCAGUCAGACAUGUUGAGGCUUCUGGUUGAGCUUCAAGAAAAACAGUUUGAGGCUAGACUCCCUCUGCAGCCCCUGCAGAACGGCCUGAAGGCAUUGCCCUAUUUCCAAUCCCCCUCCCCGAAACAUUCCAGAAGGCAAGGGGGGGAGGUGCAGUAUCCCUUCCACGCGACACCUGGGGAGGGUACUAAGAACAAAAGGUGGCCACUCAAAGACCUUUGGGCAAGACCUCUAUGUUUACACAGACAAGCUGACUUGGUUUCUCCCCUCUCAACUUUAUCACACCAUUUGCCCAAGGUUAAACUAUUUUCCUGGUCUUUCAGUUUUUUUAUGUUUGUGCAAUAAAGUCAAAGUUUCAAUAAUGAAA